rnacentral:rRNA from 1 species
AACAUUUCCUUUAGAAGAUAUUUAAAGGUAAUACCUGCCCUAUGUUAUAUAAAUGGCUGCGGUAUCUUAACUGCACUAAGGUAGCAUAAUUAAUUGUCUUUUAAUUGGUGACUUGUUUGAAUGGUUUUAUGAGAGAACUGUUUUCUUUUGAUUAAAAUGAAUUUAUAUUUUAAGGUCAAAAUACCUAAUUAAAAAAGAAAGACGAGAAGACCCUGUUGAGUUUUACGUGUAGUUUACGUUUAAAUGGGAAAUUUGGUUUCUUUUUGUAACCUUAUAGAUCCUUAACUUUUGUUUGGAAAAAGGAUAAAAUUACCACAGGGAUAACAGGACAAUAUUAACUAAGAGUUCUAAUCGAAGUUAAUGUUUGUUACCUCGAUGUUGAAUCGAAAUGGCUUCUUGGUGCAGCAAUUAAGUAAGCAGGUCUGUUCGACCUUUGCAAUUUCACGUGAUUU